rnacentral:rRNA from 1 species
AGAGUUUGAUCCUGGCUCAGGAUGAACGCUGACAGAAUGCUUAACACAUGCAAGUCUACUUGAAUUUGAGUUUUUUAACUUAGAUUUGGGUGGCGGACGGGUGAGUAACGCGUAAAGAACUUGCCUCACAGCUAGGGACAACAUUUGGAAACGAAUGCUAAUACCUGAUAUUAUGAUUAUAAGGCAUCUUAGAAUUAUGAAAGCUAUAUGCGCUGUGAGAGAGCUUUGCGUCCCAUUAGCUAGUUGGAGAGGUAACGGCUCACCAAGGCGAUGAUGGGUAGCCGGCCUGAGAGGGUGAAUGGCCACAAGGGGACUGAGACACGGCCCUUACUCCUACGGGAGGCAGCAGUGGGGAAUAUUGGACAAUGGACCAAGAGUCUGAUCCAGCAAUUCUGUGUGCACGAUGACGUUUUUCGGAAUGUAAAGUGCUUUCAGUUGGGAAGAAAAAAAUGACGGUACCAACAGAAGAAGUGACGGCUAAAUACGUGCCAGCAGCCGCGGU